GAGGGUGUAGCUCAGGGGUAGAGUGCGUGCUUAGCAUGCACGAGGUCCUGGAUUCAAUCCCCAGUAUCUCCA
rnacentral:tRNA from 1 species